rnacentral:rRNA from 1 species
AGUGAACGCUGGCGGUAGGCCUAACACAUGCAAGUCGAACGGCAGCACAGUAAGAGCUUGCUCUUACGGGUGGCGAGUGGCGGACGGGUGAGGAAUACAUCGGAAUCUACUUUUUCGUGGGGGAUAACGUAGGGAAACUUACGCUAAUACCGCAUACGACCUACGGGUGAAAGCAGGGGAUCUUCGGACCCUGCGCGAUUGAAUGAGCCGAUGUCGGAUUAGCUAGUUGGCGGGGUAAAGGCCCACCAAGGCGACGAUCCGUAGCUGGUCUGAGAGGAUGAUCAGCCACACUGGAACUGAGACACGGUCCAGACUCCUACGGGAGGCAGCAGUGGGGAAUAUUGGACAAUGGGCGGAAGCCUGAUCCAGCCAUACCGCGUGGGUGAAGAAGGCCUUCGGGUUGUAAAGCCCUUUUGUUGGGAAAGAAAAGCAGCAGGUUAAUACCCCGCUGUUCUGACGGUACCCAAAGAAUAAGCACCGGCUAACUUCGUG